rnacentral:rRNA from 1 species
UACGUAGGUGGCAAGCGUUAUCCGGAAUGAUUGGGCGUAAAGGGUGCGUAGGCGGCAAAAUAAGUCUGAAGUAAAAGGCGUUGGCUCAACCAACGUAAGCUUUGGGAACUGUUAAGCUAGCGUGCAGGAGAGGUUAGUGGAAUUCCAUGUGUAGCGGUAAAAUGCGUAGAUAUAUGGAGGAACACCAGUGGCGAAGGCGGCUAACUGGCCUGUAACGGACGCUGAGGCACGAAAGCGUGGGGAGCAAAUAGG